GGCGGCAUGCUCCUCCACCUGCGCUCGCUCCGGCGCUUUGAGCAGAGCGGUGGUUGGAUCCGCGCGCUGCUGGAGGAGGCCGAGAACGAGCGCAUGCACCUCAUGACCUUCAUGGAGGUGGCGCAGCCGAGGUGGUACGAGCGCGCCCUCGUCAUCGCCGUCCAGGGCGUCUUCUUCAACGCCUACUUCUUCGGCUACCUCAUCUCGCCCAAGUUCGCGCACCGCGUCGUCGGGUACCUCGAGGAGGAAGCCGUCCACUCCUACACCGAGUUCCUCAAGGACCUUGACGACGGCAAGAUCGACAACGUCCCCGCCCCGGCCAUCGCCAUCGACUACUGGCGCCUCCCUGCCAACGCCACCCUCAAGGACGUGGUCACCGUGGUGCGCGCCGACGAGGCUCACCACCGCGACGUCAACCACUUCGCAUCGGUACGCAUCCUUCCAAAUCCCACAAGAUCAGCAAGGCAAUCUUGACCCCAUUUCCUGCCCAGCCCAUGUGCAUCUGUUUAUGUGGAUUGGUUCGGAACUUCUGAUGAUGUAUAUGCUGAUUUGGUCUGUUGCAUGUGCCG
rnacentral:lncRNA from 1 species